rnacentral:rRNA from 1 species
UACAGAGGUCUCAAGCGUUGUUCGGAUUCAUUGGGCGUAAAGGGUGCGUAGGCGGCGCGGUAAGUCGGGUGUGAAAUCUCGGAGCUUAACUCCGAAACUGCAUUCGAUACUGCCGUGCUUGAGGACUGGAGAGGAGACUGGAAUUUACGGUGUAGCUGGUGAAAUGCGUAGAUAAUCGUAAGGAAGACCAGUGGCGAAAGGCGGGUCUCUGGACAGGUUCCUGACGCUGAGGCACGAAGGCCAGGGGAGCAAACGGG